rnacentral:rRNA from 1 species
UACGGGGGGAGCAAGCGUUGUUCGGAUUUACUGGGCGUAAAGGGCGCGUAGGCGGCCAGCACAAGUCAGUUGUGAAAUCUCCGGGCUUAACUCGGAAAGGUCAACUGAUACUGUGCGGCUAGAGUGCAGAAGGGGCAACUGGAAUUCUCGGUGUAGCGGUGAAAUGCGUAGAUAUCAGGAGGAACACCAAUGGCGAAGGCAGCUCGCUGGGACGUGACUGACGCUGAGACGCGAAAGCGUGGGGAGCAAACAGG